rnacentral:rRNA from 1 species
AUUGAACGCUGGCGGAAUGCUUUACACAUGCAAGUCGAACGGUAACAGGUCUUCGGAUGCUGACGAGUGGCGAACGAGUGAGUAAUGCAUCGGAACGUGCCCAGUAGUGGGGGAUAGCCCGGCGAAAGCCGGAUUAGUACCGCAUACGACCUGAGGGUGAAAGGGGGGGAUCGCAAGACCUCUCGCUAUUGGAGCGGCCGAUGUCAGAUUAGCUAGUUGGUGGGGUAAAGGCCUACCAAGGCAACGAUCUGUAGUUGGUCUGAGAGGACGACCAGCCACACUGGGACUGAGACACGGCCCAGACUCCUACGGGAGGCAGCAGUGGGGAAUUUUGGACAAUGGGCGCAAGCCUGAUCCAGCAAUGCCGCGUGCAGGAAGAAGGCCUUCGGGUUGUAAACUGCUUUUGUCAGGGAAGAAAUCUUCUGGGUUAAUACCUCGGGAGGAUGACGGUACCUGAAGAAUAAGCACCGGCUAACUACGUGCCAGCCGCCGCUGUAACAC